rnacentral:misc_RNA from 1 species
GAUGAAGAACGCAGCGAAAUGCGAUAAGUAAUGUGAAUUGCAGAAUUCAGUGAAUCAUCGAAUCUUUGAACGCACAUUGCGCCCGCCAGUAUUCUGGCGGGCAUGCCUGUCUGAGCGUCAUUUCAACCCUCAUGCCCCUAGGGCGUGGUGUUGGGGAUCGGCCAAAGCCCGCGAGGGACGGCCGGCCCCUAAAUCUAGUGGCGGACCCGUCGUGGCCUCCUCUGCGAAGUAGUGAUAUUCCGCAUCGGAGAGCGAUGAGCCCCUGCCGUUAAACCCCCAACUUUCCAAGGUUGACAUCAGAUCAGGUAGGAAUACCCGCUGAACUUAAGCAUAUCAAUAAGCGGAGGA